GCAAGUUUUAUCUUUAUUUGCUCUGGCACCUUAAACAAGGUGAGAUCUGACUCUCAGCUUCAACGUUCAGAACGUGCAGCACGCAGUAGCUACUCGCGGUGGCAACUCUGAUCCUCAUCCGCCGUGUUACUGCUGCCACUGUCUACUUGGUCCUCCAAAGGAGUGUUGUCAUUGCCGCCAUCUAAUGUAGGAAAGAGAUAAAGGAGUUCAAGUGCUGAACAUGGUUUUCUAACAUGUACAAGAAGUUUAUUGGUGGUGAUGUUGGAAAUUGGUUAUUGAUUGCACAUACCAUCGCCGUCGCCUGCACGGGAAUAAGAUGAGCGCCUUGAACGCGCUUGCUGUUGUGGUGUGGGCUGAUGACAACAACAGACAAAUAUAAGAGAUAAAAACCAUGUACUGAUGUAUAGCAAAGGAUAACAGGAGAAGACAAGAAUUCCUAUCUAUGUUAACAACUUCUAGCCAGCUUGAGGUAAGAAAAUCAUGGUGUUAUCAUCGAACACACCUGCAGCUUUGGGCGGAGUGCUUCAAGUGGCCCUUUUGGCUUUGCUCCUUGCUGUUGAAGAAGUUAAAAAGAACCAAAGAUAGGCAAAGAGAUUAGGCUUCAAACCUUCAGAGUUAUAGCAACUACAAUCUAAGCAAAUCCAAAUGAGCACCUUUCCCAAUGCCCAAUCAGCAGAAUCAAAAUAAGCACGCUCAUGGUCCUGCAGAAAAUUCAAAUUGCUUGUUGGUGGCUUUAUUUAUCUCAAUAAAGAUAGAACUAGAUCAGAAAUUUCAGACAGGGGAGCUAGGGGGUAAAGAGUGAGAACAAGGCCAACAAUUACCUUGGAUAUCAGUGGAGGCUUCCUUGGUAAUAUGCCUCCAUACUUUUUCUUAAUUGUUGCCUCCUGAAGAAGACAAAAUUGUAGACAAUGAUCCUACUGCAUAACUUCAACUAUUGACCUAAUGAAGCAAGCUGAUGAUAUAUAAAGAAAUUUUGAUGCAAAAAGAUCAUUUCAAUGAGAAAGACAGUUUGCAUUAACAGAUGACAGGGCAACAGGCAAGAAAUUUCAAAAAGUUUAGAACGAUUUGCAGAGCAGAGUUGUACCUCCUGCUGGGGUGAAGGCAUGGAAUUUUCAUGAUUUUCAUUUGAAGCUUUUAGGUCUUCCUCGGCAUUGUCACCAGCACCUUGAUCCUUAGGAGCACCAUCGGCAUUGUCACCAGCACCUUGAUCCUUAGGAGCACUAUCAGCAAGCUCUGGCUCCUUCACCUCCUCCG
rnacentral:lncRNA from 1 species